AAAGAAUUCCCAAUAUAACACAGCAAUCAGAAUAAAAAUUAAAAAAAAAAGUAGCAAGAAGCCAGAAUGCUAGCUAGCACUGUUUUUACCCAUCAGUGACAGGUAAGUUUCAGACCCCAGGGAACCAUUAUGAAGGGCUGAAAGCCCCAAAUAGAAAGAAAAAGGAAAACAGAGAUUGAUGCCUAUCAGGUUCCCACCAGGUGACCAGUUGUUAAAUGGACAUGAUGUGUAGUAUGUACAUCUGCUUCCCAGAGAAGCAAAAGUUAGUGAGCAAGGAGAACUACACACAUAUAAUCUAAACUGUGCCCAGGCUGCCCUGCACAUGCCAAAAAUGUCCAAAUCAGAUGUAAAUGUUUCAACAGGUUGUCUGGCGUGGAAAGUACCAAGCAGGCUUCUACAUGGUGAAGAUUGGGAAUCUCCAGCAAAGCCCCUACAAGCUGCAACGUCUUUAUAUGGGACUGACAUCUGAUCCAUUGUGUGAUUCAUCUUCCCACUGACACAACAGACAAGACAGAUCCCAGACAUGAGAUCUUCCUUCCCAUGGCCCUGAGUGAUGGAGUGCUAUUUCUGCACUGAAUUUGAGUAAGCUAUUUUCUUUACAGACCUUCUAAUUUCUUUGCAAAGAACUGCUUUGCAUGAGAGUAUUAUGGG
rnacentral:lncRNA from 1 species